rnacentral:lncRNA from 1 species
CAGCAUUUCCUGGCCCAUUCCCAGUUCCUGGAGCAGCAUUCCCUGCAGAAGGAGAUCACCAAUAGGCGUGCGCUGUUCAUCGUCACCUUCCUGCUCUUCCCCACCAACGUCCUGGUGGGCGUCAUGGCUGCAGUGUGGCGCGUGGUCAUCUCCGGCUUCUACAACGCCAUCCACUUCUGCCGGAUGGACAUCAGCCUGCUGCACCGUGGCGUGGAGACCUUCGACCCAGGGGAGGACCUUUGGGGUUUCACCAGAGGUUACCUCAUGUCUCGG